GAUGAACGCUGGCGGCGUGCCUAAUACAUGCAAGUCGAGCGAACGGACGAGAAGCUUGCUUCUCUGAUGUUAGCGGCGGACGGGUGAGUAACACGUGGAUAACCUACCUAUAAGACUGGGAUAACUUCGGGAAACCGUAGCUAAUACCGGAUAAUAUUUUGAACCGCAUGGUUCAAAAGUGAAAGACGGUCUUGCUGUCACUUAUAGAUGGAUCCGCGCUGCAUUAGCUAGUUGGUAAGGUAACGGCUUACCAAGGAAACGAUGCAUAGCCGACCUGAGAGGGUGAUCGGCCACACUGGAACUGAGACACGGUCCAGACUCCUACGGGAGGCAGCAGUAGGGAAUCUUCCGCAAUGGGCGAAAGCCUGACGGAGCAACGCCGCGUGAGUGAUGAAGGUCUUCGGAUCGUAAAACUCUGUUAUUAGGGAAGGACAUAUGUGUAAGUAACUGUGCACAUCUUGACGGUACCUAAUCAGAAAGCCACGGCUAACUACGUG
rnacentral:rRNA from 1 species